UACGAAGGGGGCUAGCGUUGCUCGGAAUUACUGGGCGUAAAGGGCGCGUAGGCGGAUAUUUAAGUUGGGGGUGAAAUCCCGGGGCUCAACCUCGGAAUUGCCUUCAAAACUGGAUAUCUUGAGUUCGGGAGAGGUGAGUGGAACUCCGAGUGUAGAGGUGAAAUUCGUAGAUAUUCGGAAGAACACCAGUGGCGAAGGCGACUCACUGGCCCGAUACUGACGCUGAGGCGCGAAAGUGUGGGGAGCGAACAGG
rnacentral:rRNA from 1 species